AAGUUGGUAGCUCAGUGGUAGAGUGCAAGCUCUGUAUGUAUGAUGUCCUGGGUUCAAUUCGCAAAUGAGAAU